rnacentral:rRNA from 1 species
UUUAUGGAGAGUUUGAUCCUGGCUCAGGAUGAACGCUGGCGGCGUGCCUAAUACAUGCAAGUCGAGCGAACGGAUAAGGAGCUUGCUCCUUUGAAGUUAGCGGCGGACGGGUGAGUAACACGUGGGUAACCUACCUAUAAGACUGGAAUAACUUCGGGAAACCGGAGCUAAUGCCGGAUAACAUUUGGAACCGCAUGGUUCUAAAGUAAAAGAUGGUUUUGCUAUCACUUAUAGAUGGACCCGCGCCGUAUUAGCUAGUUGGUAAGGUAACGGCUUACCAAGGCAACGAUACGUAGCCGACCUGAGAGGGUGAUCGGCCACACUGGAACUGAGACACGGUCCAGACUCCUACGGGAGGCAGCAGUAGGGAAUCUUCCGCAAUGGACGAAAGUCUGACGGAGCAACGCCGCGUGAGUGAUGAAGGUUUUCGGAUCGUAAAACUCUGUUAUUAGGGAAGAACAAAUGCGUAAGUAACUGUGCGCAUCUUGACGGUACCUAAUCAGAAAGCCACGGCUAACUACGUGCCAGCAGCCGCGGUAAUACGUAGGUGGCA